rnacentral:tRNA from 1 species
GCCAGUGUUGCUCAGUGGAUAGAGCAUCGGCCUGCGGACUGAAGGGUCCCAGGUUCGAUUCCUGGUCAAGGGCA